rnacentral:tRNA from 1 species
AAUAGAGUGUUCUAACUUAAGAUAUAGGGCUCAUAACCCUAAAAUACGAACUCUGUUUGUCUCUAUAA